GAAUGCAAAUGAUGAAAAAAUUAUACUGAACUAAAUGUAGACUACAACUCCGCUUCUUAUUUGAUGCCUUG